rnacentral:misc_RNA from 1 species
GUUUUAGUUGUACAUUAUGCACAAUAGACAUUCCAUUACAUUCAGAGCGUGUAAAGUUACUCGAGCACCAGGCCGGUGUUUAAACGGGCCAUGCAAAGCGGCACUCAGAGUCAUAGAUGCACAGGUGUGUGUAGUUGCGACUCUGUCAAACGUGCACAUGCAGAUCUCUCCACCAGCACAGAAUGACAAAGCCGACUUUGAAGUUUCAUUAAUGAUCCUUCCGCAGGUUCACCUACGGAAA